CCUACGGGAGGCAGCAGUGGGGAAUAUUGCACAAUGGGCGAAAGCCUGAUGCAGCAACGCCGCGUGAGCGAUGAAGGCCUUCGGGUCGUAAAGCUCUGUUCUCAAGGAAGAUAAUGACGGUACUUGAGGAGGAAGCCCCGGCUAACUACGUGCCAGCAGCCGCGGUAACACGUAGGGGGCCAGCGUUAUCCGGAUUUACUGGGCGUAAGGGGUGCGUAGGUGGUUUCUUAAGUCAGAGGUGAAAGGCUGCGGCUCAACCGUAGUAAGCCUUUGAAACUGGGAAACUUGAGUGCAGGAGAGGAGGGUGGAAUUCCUAGUGUAGCGGUGAAAUGCGUAGAUAUUAGGAGGAACACCAGUUGCGAAGGCGGCUCUCUGGACUGUAACUGACGCUGAGGCACGAAAGCGUGGGGAGCAAACAGGAUUAGAUACCCGAGUAGUC
rnacentral:rRNA from 1 species